rnacentral:rRNA from 1 species
GAUCAUGGCUCAGGACGAACGCUGGCGGCGUGCUUAACACAUGCAAGUCGAACGCUGAAGCCCAGCUUGCUGGGUGGAUGAGUGGCGAACGGGUGAGUAACACGUGAGUAACCUGCCCCCUUCUUUGGGAUAACGCCCGGAAACGGGUGCUAAUACUGGAUAUUCACUUGCCUUCGCAUGGGGGUUGGUGGAAAGGUUUUUUCUGGUGGGGGAUGGGCUCGCGGCCUAUCAGCUUGUUGGUGGGGUGAUGG